AGAAAAGUUUAACAUUUUAACACGCAGGAAAAACUUACAGCCCUAUUCUAAUAAAACCUCACAACUGAGUUGUGAGCAAAACUUUGUGAGAUUUCUUGUGAGGUCUAUUUUGUGAGGUUAUUCUAGCUCACACCUCACAAGAAAAAAGCUCAACAAAAUCACCACACGAGGUGAAAAGCAUUUUGCUGUCUAACAGCGGUUUCGUAAAUAAAAUAAAUACAAAAGAUGGAUGCUGAACAACAGGAAAAGCGAAUUUAAAAAGAAAUAACAAAGCAGGAGUAGCUCCAGUACUUCACACAGUUUGCAAUCCACAACUUGGAGCAAAAGUUUGUAUGGAAAUGAAAUCCUAUGCCUGCUCUAACUCUUCCGAAA